rnacentral:lncRNA from 1 species
UUUCUUUUUUCUUUUUUUUGAGAUGGAGUCUUCCUCUUUCGCCCAGGCUGGAGUGCAAUUCCAUCUCCAAAACAUAAAUAAAUAAGUAAAUAAUAGUAAGAAUUCACUAUCACAGCCUCCCCCGCUUUUUAAAAGAAUUCAGUUUCAUUCUUCCAUAGGGAAGAUCCUUAUCGAGCUGGCAAAGUAGAUCAACUGUUCACAAUAGCUAAAUAAGGAUUUCUAUUUUCAGUCAGAAUGCUCAUUUUAUUGUUAUUUACUCAUGGUAUGUCUCAAAGCCAUAAUAACACUGUAUAGUUCUUCAUUCUCCUAAGUAAAAAUCUGAAAAUUCUGGGGUUGCUAGUUCAGAAAGUUAACUAUAUUCUUUAUUUGGAAAAGCAGCAAGGACCCACAUGCUUAAAAUAAUUUUAUAAGAUAGAUCUUUUAUAAACAUUAAUGGAGCCAAAGAAAGUCAUACAUACUAUAUAUGCAUCUAAUGCAUUCAUUAGAGCUACAGUCCCACCUUAGGUUGAAACCUAAGGAAAAAAUACUUCCAUGGGGGAACAUUAUGUAGUUCUUUGGUUUGCUGAUACAUCAUCUUACAUAAAUGAUUAAAUUAAAAUAAAUGUUCACUCCAAGGUUAUUCUUUGCUGACUAAGGUUAUUAAAAAAAAAAAGGACUCAUCCAGUUUUAUUAGUGUCUCCUUAGAAUAAAGUGAGGAGAAAAAAUGUUUGGGUAAUGUUUGAUAAAAUUUGCUUUUGAUUAAGGCAAUAACUUUAAAAUUAAUCCUUUUAAAACUAGAAUAUGAAAAUGAAAGAAUUUUAUGUCGAUAGGAAACAGGAAGAUAUAAUGAAAGGUAAAUUUUAUUGGACACAUGCUGGUAUGUGCCAAGGACAUUAUAGGUAUUCUCUCUCAUUACCUCCUUGCUUUUUAUUCCCCCUUAAAGCCUUAUUACAAAAAAGUUUCCUACAGGAAUAACUGGUAUCCUAGAAGCAUAAUAUAACCAAGUUUAGUCCUGUUCUUUAUUCAAUUUUAAUUAAAAUUCUUGUUGCCUGGAUGUAUUCAUUGGUAAUAAUUGUUCAUUUGUCAGAAGUUUACAGUUACAUACAGUACUGACAAAGAGGGAAGGCAGGCUGGAGCGUCGGUGCUUGCGCUGAGAGGCAGAGUGCAUAGGCAGGACACUCU